rnacentral:rRNA from 1 species
AGAAUGAACGCUGGCGGCGUGCUUUACACAUGCAAGUCGAGCGAGGCGGCCCGCAAGGGUCAGUCGAGCGGCGAACGGGUGAGUAACGCGUGGAUAACCUGCCCUGAGGUGUGGAACAACCAGGGGAAACUCUGGCUAAUACCGCAUGAUACCGAGAGGUCAAAGGGGGCUCGCAAGAGCUCUCGCCACAGGAGGGGUCCGCGUUCGAUUAGCUAGUUGGUAGGGUAAUGGCCUACCAAGGCGACGAUCGAUAGCCGGCCUGAGAGGGUGAUCGGCCACACUGGAACUGAGACACGGUCCAGACUCCUACGGGAGGCAGCAGUGGGGAAUUUGCGCAAUGGGCUAACGCCUGACGCAGCAACGCCGCGUGAGGAUGAAGGUCCUUGGAUUGUAAACUCCUGUCAGCAAGGAAAAGCGAACCUGACCUCAUACGUCAGGAAGUUGAUUGUACCUGACAGAGAAGCCCGGCUAACUCUGUCGCCAGCAGA